GGGAGUACGCCGGCAACGGUGNAACUCAAAGGAAUUGAGCGGGGGCCCGCACAAGCGGAGGGACAUGUGGUUUAAUUCGAUGAUACGGCGAGGAACCUUACCCGGGCUUGAACCUAAGAGUGACGAAUCUAGAGAUAGAUUUUUCUUCGGACACUCUUGGAGGUGCUGCAUGGUUGUCGUCAGCUCGUGGCCGUGAGGUGUCGGCUUAAGUGCCAUAACGAGCGCAACCCUUUUCCUUGGUUGCCAUCAGGUAAUGCUGGGCACUGCCAGGGAUACUGCCAUCGUAAGAUGUGAGGAAGGUGGGGAUGACGUCAAAUCAGCACGGCCCUUACGUCCGGGGCUACACACGUGUUACAAUGGGGGGUACAGAAGGUCGCUACCUGGUGACAGGAUGCUAAUCUGCAAAACCUCUCUCAGUUCGGAUUGGAGUCUGCAAUCCCGACUCCAUGAAGCUGGAUUCAGCUAGUAAUCGCGCAUCAUGCCAUGGCGCGGUGAAUACGUUCCCGGGCCUUGUACACACCGCCCGUCAAGCCAUGAAAGCCGGGGGUGCCUGAAAGCCGUGACCGCAAGGGUCGGCCUAGGGUAAAACUGGUGAUUGGGGCUAAGUCGUAANCAAGGUAGCCGUAUCCGGAAGGUGCGGCUGGAACACCUCCUUAC
rnacentral:rRNA from 1 species